CGGAGACCAGGAGAAAAUGAUGAUCUCAAUUUAGCCACAAACCAAGAAUAAUGCAGCCAGAAUUACUGCCCCCUUCCCAAAGUUACUCCGCCAAUGCAAUUAAAUGCUGGUCUAAAGGUAUCGCCCGCUUGACAGGAUGAGAGAUUAUUUCACUCUCCUUGCUAAAUCAGUCCAAUUUAAAGCCACA
ensembl:misc_RNA